ensembl:scaRNA
GGCCUCUUGCCCCUUGAGCUGCUGAGGAUCCCACUGCUCCUCAGCCAGGGCUGGAGGCCAAAAUCAGCCCCGGAGGAGAACUGUCAGAGCUGCCAAGAGUGGGCAGCCUUGUUUUCCUGCCUCAGACAUGU